rnacentral:rRNA from 1 species
GUCGAGAAUAAUUCACAAUGGGGGAAACCCUGAUGGUGCAACGCCGCGUGGAGGAUGAAUGUCUUCGGAUUGUAAACUCCUGUCAUCUGGGAGUAAGACCUGACGGUGAAUAGCCGGCAGGGUUGAUAGUACCAGAAGAGGAAGGGACGGCUAACUUCGUGCCAGCAGCCGCGGUAAUACGAAGGUCCCAAGCGUUGUUCGGAAUCACUGGGCGUAAAGGGAGCGUAGGCGGCGUGGUAAGUCAGAUGUGAAAUCCCGGGGCUCAACCCCGGAACUGCAUCCGAGACUGCCAUGCUUGAGGGUUGGAGAGGUAGCUGGAAUUCUCGGUGUCGCAGGGAAAUGCGUGGAUAUCGAGAGGAACACUCGUGGCGAAGGCGAGCUACUGGACAACAUCUGACGCUGAGGCUCGAAGGCCAGGGGAGCAAAAGGGAUUAGAUACCCCAGUAGUCC